AGUGAACGCUGGCGGUAGGCCUAACACAUGCAAGUCGAACGGCAGCACAGUAAGAGCUUGCUCUUACGGGUGGCGAGUGGCGGACGGGUGAGGAAUACAUCGGAAUCUACUUUUUCGUGGGGGAUAACGUAGGGAAACUUACGCUAAUACCGCAUACGACCUACGGGUGAAAGCAGGGGAUCUUCGGACCUUGCGCGAUUGAAUGAGCCGAUGUCGGAUUAGCUAGUUGGCGGGGUAAAGGCCCACCAAGGCGACGAUCCGUAGCUGGUCUGAGAGGAUGAUCGCCCGCACUGGAACUGAGACACGGUCCAGGCGCCUACGGGAGGGAGCAGAGGGGAAUAUUGGACAAUGGGCGCAAGCCUGAUCCAGCCAUACCGCGUGGGUGAAGAAGGCCCUCGGGUUGUAAAGCCCUUUUGUUGGGAAAGAAAAGCAGCAGGUUAAUACCCCGCUGUUCUGACGGUACCCAAAGAAUAAGCACCGGCUAACUUCGUG
rnacentral:rRNA from 1 species